GGUGAGUAAAUCUAUUCAUCAAUAAAUCAAUGUUUUCACAAUCAAACACUUGAAAGAUUUCGGAAGUGAAUCCAGAUGAACAUAUUUGUUAAUGGGGAAAAUUAGUACUGUGAUAACAUUAAAGUUGAGGAAAUUGGAAAAUUAACUGUCGAAUUUUAACAUUACUAACUUGGAUACAUCCCUUCGAAUUUUCUUGGAUGGCUCUGGUUUUGGCCUCGAUUGUUCAUGCUCACUGUGAUCGUUUAUGCGGUGCUACGUUAACGCCGAACCUCGGUAUUCCGGUAGUUGACGAUAUUAAUCUGGACAACAUAUCGUAUCAGUCGUGAUUCGUCGAUGGACGAACCGAUCGGAAAAUAGUCAUCACAAAUAUACACGAAGCGCACGGGACGCGAUCAGGAUGGAUAAAAAAUCAAAAAAUGUAUAUAUACGGUUGGCAGCCAGUGCCAAAUUGGGUUGGGCACAAAUUAUGUAUAUAAAAUAUACAAAAUUGCGGUAAAAAUUAACAA